CUCCAAAGCUACACAGAGAAACCCUGUCUUGAAAAAAGACAAAAAACAAAAACCAAACAACUUGGCUGCCAGGGUUCCACUAGGAUGGGACCCCUGCUCUUUCCACACCUAAAGAGGCUAUCCAGUGAAGCCCUUGUCUGUACUGGGGACAACUGAACUGGUAGAGAGUUUUGUCAUCUCUCAGGCUCCAUCCCACCUGCAUUGAGAAGCCCAGGACCUUGGAAGGGAUUGGGGGAUGUACACUGCUAACCACUUAAAAGGGCAGAUGAAAACCUAAAGCUGAGCUUCAGGCCUGUGUCCCCACCCUGCCCCCUCACUCUUCCCUGUUCUUGGAACCCUCCCAGUACUGUGGCACCACGGAAGAUUACCAGAACUGUCAUGGUGAGCAGCUGCUCUUAAGGAUGCAUCACUGGAGGCUGGGGAGAUGACUUGGUUGAAAAAGUGCUGCUGCACAAGUGUGAGGACCUUGUGGACAGAUGUUCAGAUCCCCAGCACCCCAGUGCAGUGGUGCACAUCUGUAAUCCAGGUGCUGGGGAAAGGAAGAUGGAAGGAUCCCU
rnacentral:lncRNA from 1 species